UACUCGAGAGUGGCGAACGGGUGAGUAAUAUAUCGGAACGUGCCCAGUCGUGGGGGAUAACGUAGAGAAAUUUACGCUAAUACCGCAUACGAUCUACGGAUGAAAGCGGGGGAUUCGCAAGAACCUCGCGCGAUUGGAGCGGCUGAUAUCAGAUUAGGUUGUUGGUGAGGUAAAAGCUCACCAAGCCGACGAUCUGUAGCUGGUUUGAGAGAACGACCAGCCACACUGGGACUGAGACACGGCCCAGACUCCUACGGGAGGCAGCAGUGGGGAAUUUUGGACAAUGGGCGAAAGCCUGAUCCAGCAAUGCCGCGUGUGGGAAGAAGGCCUUCGGGUUGUAAACCACUUUUGUACGGAACGAAACGGUUCGCUUUAAUACAGUGGGCUAAUGACGGUACCGUAAGAAUAAGCACCGGCUAACUACGUGCCAGCAGCCGCGGUAAUACGUAGGGUGCGAGCGUUAAUCGGAAUUACUGGGCGUAAAGCGUGCGCAGGCGGUUAUAUAAGACAGUUGUGAAAUCCCCGGGCUCAACCUGGGAAUUGCAUCUGUGACUGUAUAGCUAGAGUACGGUAGAGGGGGAUGGAAUUCCGCGUGUAGCAGUGAAAUGCGUAGAUAUGCGGAGGAACACCAAUGGCGAAGGCAAUCCCCUGGACCUGUACUGACGCUCAUGCACG
rnacentral:rRNA from 1 species